rnacentral:lncRNA from 1 species
ACUUCGGGGAAGGACCGCGCGGAGCCAGCGCCGGGGUCCCCGGGCGGUCGGAAUCGAGGCCCGGCGCGUUGCGCAGGCCAGGCCCGGCCCGGAGGCCCCUUGCCCGGCGCAGCCCCCGGCCGACCCCCGUGCGCCGCCGGCGGCCGCCAGCACGGCGCGGAGGUGGGCUAGCGGCGGCGGCGCACGAAAGGUCACCGCGGUGGCAUUCCUCUCCGCGCUGUUUACGUGACUUAAUGUACUCGCUGCGCCGCGGCCUGUUAUCUAGGCCACCCAAUGACCGACGAAAGAUUUUCCCUCCCUGCUUCUCCCGUGGCCGCUUUAAACCAAAUAAAUUUAGCUAUUAAGGGCCAAGAUGUCUGACAAAAGAUCGAAAGGUGUCUUUCCGUGAUCGCUUAAAGAAGCGAAGGAGAAGCUUGCGGCUCUCAAAUCCCGAUAAAGAAAUUCCGCGCCGGCGCCGGCCUCCCUCCCCGCGGCCUGGUUGCUCCCUGACGCCCUGAGACCCCGACUUCGGCGGCCGCAGACCUCGGACGGGCCCGGCGGGACCUGUGGCUGCCGCCUGGGGAAGGUGGAGGUCCCCGGGCUGCGGGGCCAGGGAGUGCCAGGCCCUAGGAGACGGGCGGACAAGGGGGUCCCCGGGAGCUCUGGAGCUCCAGGUGGGAGCUGGGUAUCCUAAAACGGCCCCCGUGCACUUCGCGGAAAAACUAAGCCAAGCUCAGGGGGCCGAAAUUACCACUCCGUUUUGAUUAUUUUCUGAUACUAAAUAAUAAAGAUAAAACCAAACUGCCCCCACCUACCAUCCCACUCCCUGUAGGUCUGCUAAGGGGCAGUGUGCUGGUCCACGUCGCUGGUCCUGGGGCAGCGCUCCCUUUGAACCCCAGGCUGAAGGUGGUGGGUGGAACUGAGGCUGCCAGGGAAGGUGUGGACUCGCAGAGUAACCGCACGCAGGUGGGAGGCAGAGGUCCAGUCAUUCAGUCAUCCCUCGGCUUGGGUUUGGUUUGAAGUGUGGUAUUUAUUAUCAUUAUUAAUUGCUACUGGCACCACUACAUAAAGCCUAGGGCUGCCAGCUGGGCUGAGGCUCUGCCCCUGGAGUGAUCCCUUCCCUUUCACCAACGGGUGACGGCAGGGAAGAUCCAGUUUCCUGAUCCUGGAUACUAAAAAGUGGGCUUGGGGAGUCAGUUGUGAUGUUUUUGAAGUUUUCUCCUCCCCUUAAGUAAAAAGAGUCCAUAUUCCAGACCAGCAUAAACCUUUUCUACCUUUUUGAAAUAGGACAAGGAGGUGAUGGGGUGGGGGUAAGUUUCAGAUGAGACCCCUUGUCUUCCCUGCAGAGGGCUUUCCCAAGUCUUCUGCCUCCCCCAGUGUGUUCUCUGGCAGAUGCUGGGAGCAGGACUCUCAAUUCCAAAAGGC